CUAAUACUCUCUCCGUUCGGAAAUACUUGUCUUAGAAAUGGUUGUAUUUAGAACUAAAAUAAGUCUAGAUACAAUUAUUUCUAGGACAAGUAUUUCCGAACGAAAGGAGUAUAUA
rfam:Triticum urartu cultivar G1812 contig441679, whole genome shotgun sequence.